GCCUGGGUGGCUCAAUUGGUUAAGCAUCUGACUUCAGCUCAGGUCAUGAUCUCACGGCUGGUGAGUUUGAGCGUCACCUCAGGCU
rnacentral:tRNA from 1 species